AUACGGAGGGUGCAAGCGUUGUUCGGAAUCACAGGGCGUAAAGGGCGCGCAGGCGGUUUUACAAGUCAGAUGUGAAAGCCCACGGCUCAACCGUGGAAGUGCAUUUGAAACUGUAAGACUUGAGUAUCAGAGGGGAAGGUGGAAUUCCCGGUGUAGAGGUGAAAUUCGUAGAUAUCGGGAGGAAUACCGGUGGCGAAGGCGACUUUCUGGCUAGAUACUGACGCUGAGGCGCGAAAGCGUGGGGAGCAAACAGGAUUAGAAACCCUUGUAGUCC
rnacentral:rRNA from 1 species